GAGCUUGCUCUUCUGGAUGAGUUGCGAACGGGUGAGUAACGCGUAGGUAACCUGCCUGGUAGCGGGGGAUAACUAUUGGAAACGAUAGCUAAUACCGCAUAAUAGUAGAUGUUGCAUGACAUUUGCUUAAAAGGUGCAAUUGCAUCACUACCAGAUGGACCUGCGUUGUAUUAGCUAGUUGGUGGGGUAACGGCUCACCAAGGCGACGAUACAUAGCCGACCUGAGAGGGUGAUCGGCCACACUGGGACUGAGACACGGCCCAGACUCCUACGGGAGGCAGCAGUAGGGAAUCUUCGGCAAUGGACGGAAGUCUGACCGAGCAACGCCGCGUGAGUGAAGAAGGUUUUCGGAUCGUAAAGCUCUGUUGUAAGAGAAGAACGAGUGUGAGAGUGGAAAGUUCACACUGUGACGGUAUCUUACCAGAAAGGGACGGCUAACUACGUGCCAGCAGCCGCGGUAAUACGUAGGUCCCGAGCGUUGUCCGGAUUUAUUGGGCGUAAAGCGAGCGCAGGCGGUUAGAUAAGUCUGAAGUUAAAGGCUGUGGCUUAACCAUAGUACGCUUUGGAAACUGUUUAACUUGAGUGCAAGAGGGGAGAGUGGAAUUCCAUGUAUAGCGGUGAAAUGCGUAGAUAUAUGGAGGAACACCGGUGGCGAAAGCGG
rnacentral:rRNA from 1 species